AGUGAACGCUGGCGGUAGGCCUAACACAUGCAAGUCGAACGGCAGCACAGUAAGAGCUUGCUCUUACGGGUGGCGAGUGGCGGACGGGUGAGGAAUACAUCGGAAUCUACUUUUUCGUGGGGGAUAACGUAGGGAAACUUACGCUAAUACCGCAUACGACCUACGGGUGAAAGCAGGGGAUCUUCGGACCUUGCGCGAUUGAAUGAGCCGAUGUCGGAUUAGCUAGUUGGCGGGGUAAAGGCCCACCAAGGCGACGAUCCGUAGCUGGUCUGAGAGGAUGAUAAGCCACACUGGAACUGAGACACGGUCCAGACUCCUACGGGAGGCAGCAGUGGGGAAUAUUGGACAAUGGGCGCAAGCCUGAUACAGACAGACCGCGUGAGUGAAGAAGGCCUUCGGGUUGUAAAACCCUUUUGUUGGGAAAGAAAAGCAGCAGGUUAAAACCCCGCUGUUCUGACGGUACCCAAAGAAUAAGCACCGGCUAACUUCGUG
rnacentral:rRNA from 1 species